ensembl:lncRNA
AAGUCAAAGCAUUUUCCUUCUCAAACCUCAGAAUGCAGCAUUUCCCAAGGCUUACUGAUGGUUUUAAGGGGGACCAAACUUUCAGAUAAGAUAUUUUAUACUUUGAAAAUCCUUUUAAGAACAGCAUGCUGUAAACAGCAGCCCACCAGGCUCCCCCGUCCCUGGGAUUCUCCAGGCAAGAACACUGGAGCGGGUUGCCAUUUCCUUCUCCAAUGCAUGAAAGUGAAAAGUGAAAGUGAAGUCGCUCAGUUGUGCCCGACUCUUAGUGACCCCAUGGACUGCAGCCCACCAGGCUCCUCCAUCCAUGGGAUUUUCCAGAAAGAAGAUAUAAUUGAAGAAUUUGAAAAUUUUGUGUGGAGCUGAAUAGCUAAACCUACAGUCCCAUCUUCAUAUCCUCUUACUCUUGAGAGAGAAUAAAACUCUCCAUAUUCUU